GGCCAUAGCUCAGUGGUACAGCAUCUGCUCUGCACGCAAAAAAUUCUAGCUUCAAUCCCUGGUAGGGUUG